rnacentral:rRNA from 1 species
AGAGUUUGAUCCUGGCUCAGGACGAACGCUGGCGGCGUGCCUAAUACAUGCAAGUCGAACGCUUCUUUUUCCACCGGAGCUUGCUCCACCGGAAAAAGAAGAGUGGCGAACGGGUGAGUAACACGUGGGUAACCUGCCCAUCAGAAGGGGAUAACACUUGGAAACAGGUGCUAAUACCGUAUAACAAUCGAAACCGCAUGGUUUUGAUUUGAAAGGCGCUUUCGGGUGUCGCUGAUGGAUGGACCCGCGGUGCAUUAGCUAGUUGGUGAGGUAACGGCUCACCAAGGCCACGAUGCAUAGCCGACCUGAGAGGGUGAUCGGCCACAUUGGGACUGAGACACGGCCCAAACUCCUACGGGAGGCAGCAGUAGGGAAUCUUCGGCAAUGGACGAAAGUCUGACCGAGCAACGCCGCGUGAGUGAAGAAGGUUUUCGGAUCGUAAAACUCUGUUGUUAGAGAAGAACAAGGAUGAGAGUAACUGUUCAUCCCUUGACGGUAUCUAACCAGAAAGCCACGGCUAACUACGUGCCAGCAGCCGCGGUAAUACGUAGGUGGCAAGCGUUGUCCGGAUUUAUUGGGCGUAAAGCGAGCGCAGGCGGUUUCUUAAGUCUGAUGUGAAAGCCCCCGGCUCAACCGGGGAGGGUCAUUGGAAACUGGGAGACUUGAGUGCAGAAGAGGAGAGUGGAAUUCCAUGUGUAGCGGUGAAAUGCGUAGAUAUAUGGAGGAACACCAGUGGCGAAGGCGGCUCUCUGGUCUGUAACUGACGCUGAGGCUCGAAAGCGUGGGGAGCAAACAGGAUUAGAUACCCUGGUAGUCCACGCCGUAAACGAUGAGUGCUAAGUGUUGGAGGGUUUCCGCCCUUCAGUGCUGCAGCUAACGCAUUAAGCACUCCGCCUGGGGAGUACGACCGCAAGGUUGAAACUCAAAGGAAUUGACGGGGGCCCGCACAAGCGGUGGAGCAUGUGGUUUAAUUCGAAGCAACGCGAAGAACCUUACCAGGUCUUGACAUCCUUUGACCACUCUAGAGAUAGAGCUUCCCCUUCGGGGGCAAAGUGACAGGUGGUGCAUGGUUGUCGUCAGCUCGUGUCGUGAGAUGUUGGGUUAAGUCCCGCAACGAGCGCAACCCUUAUUGUUAGUUGCCAUCAUUCAGUUGGGCACUCUAGCAAGACUGCCGGUGACAAACCGGAGGAAGGUGGGGAUGACGUCAAAUCAUCAUGCCCCUUAUGACCUGGGCUACACACGUGCUACAAUGGGCUGCAACUCGCCUGCAUGAAGCCGGAAUCGCUAGUAAUCGCGGAUCAGCACGCCGCGGUGAAUACGUUCCCGGGCCUUGUACACACCGCCCGUCACACCACGAGAGUUUGUAACACCCGAAGUCGGUGAGGUAACCUUUUUGGAGCCAGCCGCCUAAGGUGGGAUAGAUGAUUGGGGUGAAGUCGUAACAAGGUAGCCGUAUCGGAAGGUGCGGCUG